UGCCUCUGUAGCUCAACGGACAGAGCAACGCGGUCCUAACGCGGUGGCUGGAGGUUCGAAUCCUCUCGGAGGCAC
rnacentral:tRNA from 1 species